rnacentral:misc_RNA from 1 species
AAUCUGUUGAAAAUGGUCUCCCACCCCGAGAAGCAGCCAUUGUGUAUAACUUGGGAAUCGAUGAUCUCGAAUGGAUUAACCGCGAAAGGGUCGAACUCAUUUCCGAUUAAACUACCAGCAAUUCCUUGUCCUCUAGUUCUAUUCUACCCACCAACGAAAUCUCUCUGAAUGUGUGUCGCUUCUGGUCUCGAAGUUUGGGCGACGAACGACGAUGAAUGAAGCAGAGGAGUUUAGGUUGUGAAGUUUUUCAGCAGAGGAAAUGGGGGAAAGGGAGAGUG